rnacentral:rRNA from 1 species
GUGCAGCAGGCGAGAAACCUCUGCAAUGUCUUAACGGAUGACAGGGGGACUUCAAGUGUCUACUUUGUGGACUUUUGCCAAAUCUAAAAAGUUUGGCGAAUAAGGGGAGGGCAAGUCUGGUGUCAGCCGCCGCGGUAAUACCAGCUCCUCGAGUGGUCGGGACGAUUAUUGGGCCUAAAGCAUCCGUAGCCGGUUCUGUAGGUCUCCUGUCAAAUUCAACGGCUCAACCGUUGGGCUGCAGGAGAUACCGCAGGGCUAGGAGGCGGGAGAGGUGGACGGUACUCUAUGGGUAGGGGUAAAAUCUUCUGAUCCAUGGAAGACCACCAGUGGCGAAGGCGGUCCACCAGAACGCGCUCGACGGUGAGGGAUGAAAGCUGGGGGAGCGAACCGGAUUAGAUACCCGGGUAGUCC